GUUGUAGCUCAGUGGUAGAGUGCUUGCCUAGCACAUGUGAGGCACUGGGUUCAAUUCUCAGCACCAUA
rnacentral:tRNA from 1 species